GCCAGACUCCUACGGGAGGCAGCAGUGGGGAAUAUUGCACAAUGGGGGAAACCCUGAUGCAGCGACGCCGCGUGAGUGAGGAAGUAUUUCGGUAUGUAAAGCUCUAUCAGCAGGGAAGAAAAUGACGGUACCUGACUAAGAAGCCCCGGCUAACUACGUGCCAGCAGCCGCGGUAAUACGUAGGGGGCAAGCGUUAUCCGGAUUUACUGGGUGUAAAGGGAGCGUAGACGGAUAAGCAAGUCUGAUGUGAAAAUCCGGGGCCCAACCCCGGAAUUGCAUUGGAAACUGCAUAUCUAGAGUGUCGGAGAGGCAAGUGGAAUUCCUGGUGUAGCGGUGAAAUGCGUAGAUAUCAGGAGGAACACCGGUGGCGAAGGCGGCCUGCUGGACUGCAACUGACGUUGAGGCCCGAAAGCGUGGGGAGCAAACAGGAUUAGAUACCCCUGUAAA
rnacentral:rRNA from 1 species